UUGCUUUUUUUUCUUUUUCCAGUUUCAACAUUUUUGCUUCUAUUUGAUUAUUGUUGUUUAUUCUCACACCUAGUGCUCCUGGAACAUCUGGUGUGAGCGUUGCCAUGUGACCAAGGGGGACUAGGUUCAAACCCUAUCCCUCCCCCCUCCCUUUUAUACUUGUUUUUUUUCCUCAUUUUUGUUUUUAUUUUGUUUUGUUUU
rnacentral:lncRNA from 1 species